rnacentral:rRNA from 1 species
UACGGAGGGAGCUAGCGUUGUUCGGAAUUACUGGGCGUAAAGCGUGCGCAGGCGGUUUUGUAAGUUUGUCGUGAAAGCCCCGGGCUCAACCUGGGAAUUGCGAUGAAGACUGCAAGGCUUGAAUCUGGCAGAGGGGGGUAGAAUUCCACGUGUAGCAGUGAAAUGCGUAGAGAUGUGGAGGAACACCGAUGGCGAAGGCAGCCCCCUGGGUCAAGAUUGACGCUCAUGCACGAAAGCGUGGGGAGCAAACAGG